rnacentral:lncRNA from 1 species
CCAUGUUGGUUUAUUUGUAGAUCUUGUCUUAAUUGCUGAUAUUUUUUUCAUUUAUUAUAGUUUUCAAGAUUGUACUUGUAGUCAAAACAAAAACUGAAAAAUGUUAAAAUUCACCAUCAAAGAGCGAUAACUCUAAUAAAGAGAAGACUGAGGAUUGAGGUCAUGCUGACUUAUUUGUAGAACUUGUAUUGCUACUCGUAUUAUAAAGAUUGUGGGAUAGUUUCGAUAAAUUGGAAUAUGGAGUUUAGGAGGAGCUGUCUAUAUAUUAAAAAAAAAGUCCAUGCUAUAAAAUGAAACCCCAAUUCUGAUCAAGACACAAAAAGUGUACAACAGCACUAAUACAUGGCUAAGUCAAGAUUAAGUAUAGGUUUCUAUGUAAUCAGUUUUAGCUCGAUUAAAAAUACAGAUGAUGAAUUGCAUUUCUUCUUUCAAAGCAUAAGAAUUAAAAAUGCAAAUGUCACUUUUAUUUUUUUCUUUCAAAAUAUUGCCUGUAUGAGUUUUAACUAACAAAAAACAAAUACAAUUAUACAUUAGCAAUCGAACAAUUAAUUAAAUUUUCAACAGGUUCAAAGCCUUGUUGUUCCUUUUUAAAGCGGUCAAUGGAACUGAAGAGAAAGGACUCUUGAUUCACUGAUUCUUAUACGCUUUGUUGUAAAUAUGUUAUAAUUUAUAUUUCGUUUAUCACUUUUUCACAAGCUUUACGUUUUACGACAAUAAAGAUUUAUGAUUAAAAUAUUGUGUUGCAUACUGUAUUGCUGUUAACAGUUUACGUUUUGUAAUUAGUACAUUAGUACAUCAU